GGGUAAUUGGUCUAGGGGUAUGAUUUUCCCUUCGCAUUCUACAGCGCCUGGGAAAGGCCACCGGUUCGAAUCCGGUAUUAUCCA
rnacentral:tRNA from 1 species